UACGAAGGGGGCUAGCGUUGCUCGGAAUCACUGGGCGUAAAGGGUGCGUAGGCGGGUCUUUAAGUCAGGGGUGAAAUCCUGGAGCUCAACUCCAGAACUGCCUUUGAUACUGAAGAUCUUGAGUUCGGGAGAGGUGAGUGGAGCUGCGAGUGUAGAGGUGAAAUUCGUAGAUAUUCGCAAGAACACCAGUGGCGAAGGCGGACUCACUGGCCCGAUAACUGACGCUGAGGCACGAAAGCGUGGGGAGCAAACAGG
rnacentral:rRNA from 1 species